rnacentral:lncRNA from 1 species
AGUUAGCCUGUGCAUUACAGCUGAGUGUGAGAACAGUGCCUCCAGCCCAGACACACAGUGCACGGCGUUUGUGCAGAGGUCUUCAUGCAGCAUUGUUCACAGCAGCAAGAGGCUGGACGUGGUCUCAAGCACCAUCAUUUGCACACUGGUUAAGUCAGCCGUGGUGCAUCUCCACUAAAGAGUACUAAACAACCUUGUAAAGCACAGCGUGUCUGUGUGAGACCAUCUCUGAAACCUGUGCGCAGAGGGGAAGGCACUGUGGAUGGCAGGGGAGAGACAUAGUGUGUGUGUGUGUGUGUGUGUGUGUGUGUACACGCGCAGAGUAUUUUCUGGAAGGAUUACGACAGUCUGGUAGCUGGUAAUGCACUGCAUCUGGGGAAGGAAGGACACAUUUCAUUGUAUUCUCUGAGUGGUUGGAAUUUUUACUGGUGUGGUAUCUAACUUUUCAAAUAAAAAAAAAGCCAUUGGGCUGAGGUUGUAGCUCAAUAGUAGAGAGAGCUCUCCCUUGCACACGUGAGGCCCUGGGUUGGAUCCUCAGCACCACAGAAAAAUAAGUAAAUAAAGUAAAGGUAUUGUGUCCACCUCCAAUGAAAAAUAAAUAUGUUAAAAACAUCAAGGAGAAAAGCUCAUGAAAAUGGCACCUUGUUAUACAUUUUGUUUUUAGAGUAACAACAUUCAUUUAUUAGUGUUUACAUGUGAUUUGCAUUUACUUUUAUGUGAAAUACCUUUUCUGUCCUUAUCCAGUUUUCUUUUGGAUCAUUACUCUUCAUUAGCAAGUUAGAGCUUUUAACAUAAUAAGAAACCUUAACCCUUGACCAGCGUAACCCAACAGAGCCCUCAGGCUAGGAGGGCAGCAACGGCUCUCCACUGCCCCCUUGUGGCAGGAUGCAUUGCCCACUGGGCAAUGAACCUUCUGGAAGGGAAGAUCAGCCUCCCUCCUGCUCUUUACUGGUUCAUAUCCUUCAGUCUGAAUAAACCCCCAGAGCCUCCCACCCCACUUCUGGGGAUUGAACCCAGGGGCACUCUACCACUGAGCCACAUCCCCAGCACUGUUUAUUUUUUUAUUUUGAGACAAGGUCUCACUGAAUUGCUGAGGCUGGCCUCAAACUUGUGAUCUUCUGCCUCAGCCUCUUGAGUCACUAGAAUUAUAGUGUACAGCACCAUGCCCAGCAGAACUCAUUUCCUUUAAAUUCAUUCCUUUAAUUUCUUUAUGUAAUAGGUUCAGUGUUUUUCCUUCUUUUUUUUUCCCCUCAACCACUGAGCCACAUCCCUAGCCCUUUAUUAUUAUUAUUAUUAUUAUUAUUAUUAUUAUUAUUAUUAUUAUUAUUAUUUUCUUAUUUAGAGACAGGGUCUCACUGAGUUGCUCAGGGCCUCCCUAAGUUUCUGAGGCUGGCUUUGCACUUGUGAUCCUCCUGCCUCAGCCUCCUGAGACACUGGGAUUACAUGCAUGCACUACCGUGCCCUGCUUUUCCUCUUUAUCUUCUAUGAAAUCCUUUCUGAAACUCCGUGGCUCAUUCAUUCAAAACACAAGGACUUAUUAUCAACUAAAUUGAGAAUGUGAAGAAUUGCUGCCCCAAGUGUGCAGGAUGUGUGACCGUAACACAGAGUUGGAAUGUGCCGUAUGGAGGGACAUGCAGUGUGCCAUGGGGACACAGGAUAUUGCUGCCAGCUCCUCCUGGGAAAUCAAGGCAGGUGGCUUAUAGGACAGGAAACGCUAAUGUAGUAGCCACGUUUUCUCAGCGUCUCAUGCAGUAAUAUACUUUGCUUCCUUCUCAUAUGAAUUGAGCUGGGUCCUCCGUUUCCUUUCUCUCUUGAUGACCUCAGCCAGCUGCUCGUAUCUAAAUGCCAUAGAGCACUACACACACACCUCUAGCCCAGACCUUCUCACACCCCAGAUUCCUCCAUCCAGCUGUUCACGUGUCCCUUCGACUUGGAUUGGCCUCCCCGACAUGACAUGUUCAAAGCACAGAUCUUGAUUUUUGCUUUCUUAACCUCCUUCCCUCCAGCCUUUCCCAUCUUACUAAAUAUCAGGUGUUUCCCGUCUUAGUGAAUAUCAAUCCAGCUGUUCAAGCCAAAAACCCAAGGAUCACCUUUUCCUCUGUGCCCUUCACCUCCUUCAACCAAAUUAUCCUUUGACUUCUAUCCCAAGUCUCCUGCUCUUCUUCCUACCUCUAGUGUAGCAUUCUCUCACCUGGAUCACAUCUGGUCUCUCUGCGGUAUUCACUCAACACAUACCUACAGAGGUCCUUCUGCUAGAAUAGGAGCCAGAUGGUGACCAGCAGUCACCUAAGUAGAAGUAUGAGAUCUUGUGUCUCCUAGGGGUCACAGAGAGCUGGAGUUCAGAGGGCAGUGAGGAUCUGUGGAGGUAGGACUAGAUUUAGGGAGCGGGAUGGCCCCCAAAGAAAUGAUCCCUGAGCUGAGACCCUAAGGGUAACCCAGAAGAAGGUUCUAGGCAAAGGCUACGGUACAGUUGGCUUUCCGUAUCCACAGGUUCUGCACGCGUCUGUUCAACCAAGUGUGGAAUGAAAUGUUUUUAAAUCUGCUGAUUAUGUAAUUCGAGUCUGUCUCUGUACUAACCACAGCCAGACUUCCACUUCCUGCCGCCCUCCCUGCACCGGGCAGUGUAGCACCUGCUCCCACAGCGCUUACACUGUGUCAGCUGGGGUAGGUGACCUGGGAGGACACCCAGGGACUUGAGCAGCCUCAGAUCUCGGUUCUGCAGAGGUCCUGGGGCAGUGCCCCGUGGACACUGGAGGUGGCUGUCCUCAGCCGUCCUGUGGUAGGAGGAGACAGGGGGGAGGCCCGUGUGGACGAGGACAGAGGCCCUCUGAGGCCCCUAGGGCUGGCCUUGAGGUCAGUGCCCUUACCACAGGAGCCCUGGAGGGCCACUGCAGGUCUCGAGGGUCACUUUUUCUGUCCCACACUUUGGCCUGCUUUCCCAGCUUUUGUCUACCAGAUUUCCUGUCCCACUCUGAGAGGACCACUUGGGACCUUUGCCUCUGAUUCCCACCAACACCCCGGUCCUCGCUCUGAACUGAUACUCUUACAUCCCACGUCAGGAAACCACGGUCGUCAUGUAAGAGAGGCCGGUCUUAAUCCCCUGACCUCCCUCCCUCCUCCGAACCUCACUCUACCCCUAGGCACAAGGGAAGCGCCUUCCGCCUCCCCUUGAGUCCUGCGUGCCCUCCCUCUUGUCUGUUCUGGGGCUUCCUGCUUCUCCCCUCGUCAUCGGUGGUCCUUGCCAUCAGCCUGGAAACACGGCCGACCUGUGGACACCUUCCCUUGACCUGGGUCUCCCUCCAGGAACACCCUGGGUCUCCGCUCCUUCACAGCCAAGCCUCUCAGGACAGUCACCCAUGCUAAAAAGGCUGACCACCAGCCACAUGAGGUUAUUGAGCACUUAAAUGUGCCAGCUUGAUCAAGGGACUGAAUUAUUAUAUUUAAUUUUGAUUAAUAGCCUCGUGUGGCUACCAUAGUGGAUAGCCAAUUCCAAAGGAUUCAAAUUACAUAAUUAACAAACUCAGUCAUUCUCAUAUGUGUGCGUGCGCAUAAUACAUGU